AGAGAGAGACAUGCGCGCAUAUCAAUAAGCGGAGGAAAAGAAACUAACAAGGAUUCCCUUAGUAACGGCGAGUGAAGCGGGAAGAGCUCAAAUUUGAAAUCUUCAAGGUUUUACCUUGACGAAUUGUAGUUUAAAGAAGUGUUUUCUGCUGAAGUUUUGGUAAAAGUUCUUUGGAAUAGGACAUCAUAGAGGGUGAGAAUCCCGUAUUUGACCAUUAUUUCAGCUUUGUGAUACACUUUCAAAGAGUCGGAUUGUUUGGGAAUGCAGUCCAAAAUGGGUGGUAAAUUUCAUCUAAAGCUAAAUAUAUUGGCGAGAGACCGAUAGCGAACAAGUACCGUGAGGGAAAGAUGAAAAGAACUUUGAAAAGAGAGUUAAACAGUACGUGAAAUUGUCAAAAGGGAAGCGUUUGACACCAGUGUUGUUUUCUCGAAAAUCAAUUAAAGAUGGCUCGAUUUUGUAUUGUUGAGACCUUAAAAGCUCACUGUACAUUUUUCGUGUCUUUUUUAAUGCACUUUUCGUUUAACAAGUCAACAUCAGUUUCUUUUGUUGUAAAAGGGUCAUUGGAAGGUGGCUUUCUUUUCGGAGAAAGUGUUUAUAGCCUUUGGCCUCUGCAAUCGGAGAGACUGAGGUCUGCAGCGUAGACUCUUCGGGGUUAGAUACAUUUGUGCUAAGUUAUAGCUUUUUAUAGACAACUUGUUGACUAUAAUUAGUCUUGUAGCUUACUCGCUUAUGCUAUUUUACCUACGCUUAGGAUGUUGAAGAUGUAGCACAUCAU
rnacentral:rRNA from 1 species